CCAACGGUUUCUUUAGAAAUCACAAAAAAUAUGUUUAAAAAAACCU
rfam:Aedes albopictus isolate Foshan contig14401, whole genome shotgun sequence.